GAUGAACGCUGGCGGCGUGCCUAAUACAUGCAAGUCGAGCGAACAGACGAGGAGCUUGCUCCUCUGACGUUAGCGGCGGACGGGUGAGUAACACGUGGAUAACCUACCUAUAAGACUGGGAUAACUUCGGGAAACCGGAGCUAAUACCGGAUAAUAUAUUGAACCGCAUGGUUCAAUAGUGAAAGACGGUUUUGCUGUCACUUAUAGAUGGAUCCGCGCCGCAUUAGCUAGUUGGUAAGGUAACGGCUUACCAAGGCAACGAUGCGUAGCCGACCUGAGAGGGUGAUCGGCCACACUGGAACUGAGACACGGUCCAGACUCCUACGGGAGGCAGCAGUAGGGAAUCUUCCGCAAUGGGCGGAAGCCUGACCGAGCAACGCCGCGUGAGUGAUGAAGGUCUUCGGAUCGUAAAACUCUUUUAUUAGGGAAGAAAAAAUGUGGAAGUAAAUAUGCCCGUCUUGACGGUACCUAAUGAAAAAGCCACGGCUAACUACGUG
rnacentral:rRNA from 1 species